rnacentral:lncRNA from 1 species
UUAUUGACAUGAAAAACAAUCCUGCGGAUACAAAAGCUUUUGUAUGUUAAUUGCAUAAUGUCAGUGCAAUUUAGAAAGUGGUUGCAGAAGGAAAGAAUUCCUUUCCAAAACAGAAGUGGCUUUUCCUCAUCUACCAGCUCAAUUCAAGACUGCAUCUUGAAAGUAUUUAUGGCUGUGUUCUCAUCAGUGACACCAGAAGGAGAACAGCAAUAGCAGCUCGUGAAUGGAAAAAUACAGGUCUAGAGCUAUGUAAUGAAAAAGCUACUUCCUCUGAAAGAGGGAGGGGAACAACCACACAUCUUUCAUUGAUAUAUAAACUCAGCAUCAUUGGAAGCCUUUGAAUGCAAUGUCUCUCAUCUUCUACCCCACUGCAUACAGAGAAAUAGAGAAUGUGGUUCAGCUGCCUGCUCAUUAAAGAUGCUUCAGUAAAUAGAUUUUGAAUUGGCAAAUGAAGGACCUUCUUAAAUCUUUAAGCACAGCCUGUUUGAUUUACUGCUCCAGAAAAAAAAUUAACUUUCCAGCUCUCACAGAUAAAGAGAGUUGAAGAAAACUCAUCACGCAAGGAUGAGUGUGUUUACCAAAUGAAGUGGAUACAUUUAUCCCAAACCUCUUCCAUAAAGAGUGCAAACACCGCUAUGCUCAGAGCAGACAUCAUCAGCGUGAGUUGCACUAAGUUAGAAAAAAAUGACAUGUUUUACAAGGACACGUGAGAGCAGAACAUUGUGCAGCACAUCACGGGGUACUUCCUCACCAAGCACCACUUGGAGAGCCACAGCUUGUAAAACCUCAAGACACUUUAACUAAUACAUGUAAUCACUUCUCAUAGUGUGGCUGCCAAGCUCUCCUCCAGUGAUGAGGCACAUCUACUCAUGCUCACAAGGAUCUUCCUAAAGUCUCUCCUCAAGAGAUGUUCCACAGCUCUCCCAAGAGAGUGACUAUCUUCACCAGCUCCUCUCUAGAAAACCUAAACACAGCAUUGGCAUGUGGGGGAAACUAAUAGAGUGAAGCAGAAAGGGAAAAGGAAUCAGAGGAGCAAAAAAUGAAACCUAACAGCUGAUCAGAACAGUCUGCUGCACUGGAAAAAUGCAGGAAAUCUUAUAGUUAAAUGACUCAUUUGUAAAUCAGGUCCUUUCAUAAAAACCUUCUUAUUACAGCUGUACAGCAAGGGACCAGGAAUGGAGGUGAUGCUUUGCAGUACUCUUUGGGAAAGCAG